UGAAUAAAGCAUUUUAACUCGCUGUGGAAAAACAACUGUUGGGACUGCGGGAAUGUUCUUGCUGCGCCUGCGCAGUGGCGUUCUUUUCCAACCGACGCUCAGCCAGCCGUCAGAAAUGCAUCUGUCUGCCUCAGGUAAUGGAAGACCAUGAUCAAAUCACGUUUACUCUAACAAUUUUACACCGAGUUCUCGCGACUGUCUUCAUAGACGGGAAGGAAACAUGGAGAAAACUAUUCACAGUUGGAAGUGUUGGAGAACUGAUUAACUCAGCCAAAACUGACCUAUCUCAACAAGUAUCUAUUGAUCGCAUACUGAGAUUUGACGCAGAUUUUCAAGAAUUUAUUGACAUCGAUGUUAAUUCAGAAGUGAAGGAGCUUGACAAAUUCCAAAUAUAUUAUACUGCUAGUGCUACUGCUAGUACCUCACAGGAUUCAUUUGAAGGGAGAUUUGAGUCAUUACUGUCUCAUUCAACAGAUGUAAGCCGGACUGUCACCACAACUGGUCUGCUGACACUGCUCAUGGAAAAGGCCCUGACAAUCUUGAGAGAACAUGAAGACACAAAGACACUGUCAAUUUCUUCGAGAAAGUUACUUGUUAAAGU